AUUUUGAGUUAAUUACAUGGAAUUAAGGGUGUCUAGAGAAAUUGAAUUUUCUUGGGUAAGAGGAGCCAAACAUGGCACUAAGAAGUCUCCGCGGCGCUGAUUGGAAUUAAAGAAAGCAGAGUCGCAAGGAUAAUUCUACUCGAGUUGGAAAAUCCAACAAAUUUCUCCUUUGGUUGGGGGAGCCGAUGUGUCCUUUCUGAUAACAACAGUGACGACUCUAGCACCUUGACCCCCACCUUAAACCUUCUCUCUUUCGUUACUGGAGGCAACAAAACCAAGACCCCAGUUUUUGAUUCUCGUUUCUCUUUACUUCUAUUGGUUUUUGUGGCAAAAUUUCGUUCACAAGAGAGGUUUAACGAAGAUGGGUUGCUGUGCCAGCCAAAACGCCGACUCCAAAGCCAGCAGGAUCUCCCGUUGGCGAUCCACGGGCAUUGUUGCUCUGCGUGACGCUAAAUUGAAGGCGAUUCCAUUUCUCUCUCUCGAUUUUCCCUUUUCAAAGCUUCCUUAAUUUACAUUAUUGGGUUUCAUAAACACCAUGGGUUUUCCUCGACCGGGCUUGAUUGUUUGUUACUUUGCAGAUUAUGAUCUUUUUACGCUCUUUUUCGUUUUUCUGAAUUUUGAUCAUGUAUUGUUAUUAUUGUUUCAUCCUAUUUGUUUGUAUGCUUGUGUCUCUGUCCAUAAUUUUGCUAGGUAAAAGCAUGUAUAGGUGUGUGCAAGGAUACGCAUGCGUCCUGGUAGGUGAUUCAGGGCUAUAAUGUAACUGCCUUAAAAGGGAAUUUAAAUAUAAAGUUCUGUUUUGCUGGUUUCUUCUCUUGUUUAGAGUAUUUAGUUGGAUAUUUAUGAAUUUUAAUCUUAGAAUAGAUUGAUAUGUUAGAAAUGAUAUUGCGUUUGUUAUAGCACAUGCGCACAUUUGCAGUAGUUUCCAUUCAGAGAUAUGUUUGUAUAAGCAAGGCACAUCACUUGCAAACAAUCCCUCUUUUGUCAUUCAUGCUUGAGUAAUUUUAAUAGUACAACACACGUGCCCAAUUGGUAAGUGGUACUGCAGCAAAAGUUUUCAGUGUUGAUAGUUUAGAUGCCAUGCACUGAUACCAUAUGAAGAAGUUCAGCUGUUCGCGUGGCUUCUGCUUCUCAUAAUCUGGCUUGCAUAUGUAGUUUUUUGUUUGUUUAAUUGUCUACUUUUCAUGAGCAGACUUUUCCCGAUGAGGUUCUUGAUUUAGACAAAAGCGUGCGCACCCUUGAUUUAACUCACAAUAAAUUAGUUGACAUUCCUAUGGAGAUUAGCAAAUUAGUCAACAUGCAGCGCCUCAUUUUCCUUCAUGGAUUCAUCUGUGGAUUUCAUGCCACCCUUUUUUCUUGCGUAAGGCUGUUUGACUAAGUCCUAACAAAUGUUUGUUAUCUGUGCCUAGUGGGCCAGCUGGUGAGGCUUGAGCGGUUGUCAAUACAAGGGAAUAUGUUAACAUUCUUGCCUGAGACAAUUGGGAGCUUGCGCAAUGUAAGUAACUCCAAUUCAAGGAAUGUGUUAAUGGAGAAAGACUAGAAUUUUGAAAAAAACAAAAAAAUUGGUAUAUACUAUGAAAUAGCAAAAAGAAGUGAAAAGGUAUCUCAGCUGAAACAGAUAAGGAAUUAAGGAUAAGGAUAUAGGGUGAUCGAAGUAGUCCGCAAAAUGUUGUUGAGUGAAAACCCACCUAUUAGUAAUCUGCAUCUUGGGUUGUUAUAAAUUGACUGAAAGUGUUUUCCAAGCAUGGUAACGUUUUACCAUUUGGAGUUUUUUAUACUAUCUAUGAUGCAUUUUGCAUAUCUCAUUAACUUCCUUGAUCUAAUGUGGAUUGUUUGGUGAUGUAGCUAUCACUAUUAAAUGUUUCAAAUAACAAGUUAAAGACUCUUCCAGAAUCAAUUGGGAGUUGCUUCUCUCUGGAAGAAUUACAAGCAAAUGAUAAUUUAAUUGAAGACCUUCCUGGAUCAAUAUGCAAUCUCGUUCACUUGAAGUCGCUUUCCUUGAACAACAAUAAUGUGAGCCAGAUUCCUUCAAAUCUGUUGAAAGACUGCAAAGCUCUCCAGAAUAUUUCCCUUCAUGACAAUCCUAUUUCUAUGGAUCAAUUUCAGCAGAUGCAAGGAUUUCAAGAGUUUGAAGCAAGAAGAAAGAGGAAGUUUGACAAACAAAUUGACUCAAAUGUGAUGAUCAGUUCCAAAGGGCUUGAUGAGGGCGUUGAUCUAUGAUGAUAGUGUUGGCACUCCUUGCCAGAGUAAGUUUUACAUGGUUACUGAGUACAGGAUACUGCACAGCAGGGCACGACUCAACUCUUGAAACACCUCUGAUUUACAGUUAAUUGUUCUUGAAUAUUGCAUUUUGACUUGGUGUCUAUGACAGUAUUCUGUGACCUUUAGGUUUUGAGUACAGAAGAGUCAUUGAGCUUACUUUUUUUAGAACAUAAAAUUUUCUUGCAAUUACUGUGGUUCUUUUAUUCCUGAUUGAUCCUCUAGCAUUCAUUUUUGUUGCGUCGACCCUUCUCCAGUUCUCCAUCCUGUACCACUACAUGUCCUUGAAUUACAGUUGUUUUUAAUGCACUUAAUUGUUUGCUCGACGUUGUAUAAAUAUAUUAAUAUAUGCUUGGCUAAUUUACUAAAAGACAUUGCUUGAUAUGUGGAUCUGUAAAUGAGCCGGGUCACUUGUGAACUACUCAGAACUCUGACUCAGUAAAAGUUCGUUCAAGCUUGGUUCAUUUAUCAUACAAGCUUCAAAAUCAAACUUGGUCUUAGCACGCUAAACUAAUGAGUUGAGCUUGAGUUCAUCAAUGCUCAGCUCGUUUAGCUUGCAAGCUGACUCACUUCAUUAAUAAUUUAAAUUUAAACUAUAUAUUUUUAUUUAUAAUAUGUGUAAAAUUAUUAACUAAAAAUAUACAAAAAUAAUAUGUUCUUAUUUUGUAAUCUGAUAUUUAAAUUUUUAAUAAUUUUUCAUGCAAAUAUUACUGAGUAUAUUAAGAUUUUAAAAGAAGUAUUUUAAUUCUUUAAAAAUUUAUGAAUAAUUUGAUUUAUAAUUUAAGUUUAUUAAAAAAAUUUGCUUGAUUUAGCUUGUUUAGGCUUGGGAGUCUUAUAUGAGGUAGAUGAUACUCGGCUUUAGUUUGGUUCAAAUUCAGGUUUGAACUCGGCUCAAUUAUUAAACAAGCUGAGCUUGAGCUAGCCAUCUCAAGCUCUGUUCAGUGUAGCUCGUUACAGCUCUAUUGAUAUGGAACAACCUAUUAAAGGUUAAGUUGACAGAUACAAGCAUGCACACUUGGUCUUGUUAUCUAAUAUGUGCAUUCGGAAUUUCAUGCUUGUGUGUUCCGUUUUGAUGCCAUCUUUAUCUACUUGUCCUGUAACAGACUUCCCGGUGUAUAUAAUUCUGUAGUUGCUUUUAUAUAGUGAAGAUAUAAAUUAACUUAGAUUUCUGUGGAACAGAGCGCAUUACAGAGUUGGACUGGUUGAGGUUAUGUUUAAUGCAAGGAAUGGUGGUUGGAUCUCAGCAGCUGAAGAUUCUGAAUAGCUCUUCCUCAGAUCAGUAUUCAUUUUGAAUUCUUGGCACAUUUGAAAUAAAAAAAAAAAUAAAUAAUAAUCUCAACUGGUCUUCUCUUAUUGUAAAUGUCAAUGAUAGAUGUUUCUGGUUUUACUGGGCUGCCAUGUGCAGGUUCACAUAUGGUGGUGAUUCCCUAGUUAAAGAAUAUGCAUAUGAUUGCUUUUUGUAUUCUAAGUGGUGGAGCUGCUCAAAACUAUUUUUUUGGCAUUAUAUAAACUUUUUGUUUCCCUUAGUGCCUAUGGAAAUGGAAAGUAACCUGGCUGAGCUUAGUCCUGAUAGAUCCAUGUUGGAGUGUCACUCUCUCAAUCCCUUAUUAAAAAAAAAUGGAAAUUAUGUAUAUAGAGAUUGGUGUUAAUUAAUGUAUAAAAAUUUAUUUUAUGAAGGGGAUUUUAUAAUUUGGUCUUAGGGUUUUUCUUGGUUUU
rnacentral:misc_RNA from 1 species